rnacentral:lncRNA from 1 species
UUUUCUACAUGCAUUAGGUCGUUAGUCCUCUUGUUUGAAUUUUAUCACCUUUUUCUUUUUAUGUCGGGGCCUUUUACAGCUUACUAUAAGGUAUGGGUUUUUGUUCAUCAUUGCAGCCUAUGGCGAUUCAACCAUAUUAAACGUAGAUCGUACAAUUUUUUGUGAAACGCUGGCCGGUCUCUUAUUAAGUGCCAGUCUGCCUAACAAUCAGGCAGCGAUGAAAA